CGGAACCCACGGAGGGAGGAUUCCCAAUUCCCAUUCAAUUUAGAGGGACCCAUAGAAGGAAAAGGGCUGGGAUUUUCUGGAAUUCAAUAUAUACAAAUACUGCCAAUUGAUAGAGGGGGGAUUCCAGAAAAGAUCAUCUUCUCGACCAAACAUAGACCAGACGCCAUUUUUUUUCUUUCCCCUGGAGGCUCUUGAUCUUACCAUCAUCUUCAUCAAGCAAAGGGGAGGAUACACCCAUUGUUUUGAGCAAAAACAAGAGGGGAUGCCAUUUUUUGGCCCUUCCUUUCUUCUAGUUCGCGACACACAUAUACCCACACACCCAAAAUCACAUAGCCGCAUAGAAACAGAGAGGUAGAGAGACGGAAAGGAUGAGAGAGACACCGAAAGAGAAGAAGUCGACUGUAUAUCGAGUUUUUCGACCACUCUUCACCAAAAAACACUUCCCUAGCUCCGAUUUAACUUUGAAAUCCAUCAAUAACUCGAUCUAAACUAUCUCCAUUGCUGAAAACCAAGGUCGAGUAGUUUAAACCAAUCUGAAAUCGUCCUGUUUUGGGUUGAUUCCGACCAUUUUGAGUUCGAUUUCGUCAUGUGCAAUGUCAAUUUUGGUCUGUUCGGUUUAAUUCUGGUAAGUUCGGUUUAGUUUCAGCUCGUCGGGGGUUUGUGUUGAAUACUCUCAAGUCGUUUUCAUGGAUUUUGGUAUUUGAAUCGGAAUGCAAAUUCGGGUUUUGUAUUGAAUUGGUUCGUCGUUGAGGUUCUCUAUUCGGGAUUCCAAGUCCGGGUUCUCUUAAACAUUAUUAUUAUCAACAAAUCUGUUCUUCGAAGGUCCAUCUCUUAACUCUACUCUUUUAUCUCGAAAUUGGUUAAUGUCAUAAUUUUAUGGUGUGGCUUUGAAUAUUUUGAGCAAAAUAUUAAUUGUUGGUGUGGAUGACUUGUAUGCCUAAGUUCGAAUCCUCGUUGGGUAUAUGUGGUUGAUGUUGGAUUAGAUAGUCGAAGAAUUAGUGAAUUAGUUUUGACAAAGAAAUUGGGGAAGACGGGAAUGCAAAGUUGAUAAAAAUGAAUAUUAUUGUGUUUUGAUUCAUCAAUUAUUGUUAAAUUUGAAAUGGUUAUUAAUGUCAUUGAACUCAAUAGUAUCAUGUGUUAAGUCGAGAAUUGGUAGGGAAAUCUUAGGUUUGGGUAGGCAAAUUUAGGAAUGGUGAAUCAUGGAAUGUUUGGAAUAUGUGCUGAAUGGUUUUCGUUAUCGCAUUUGGGUUUAAUUGUAUUAUUUGGCUGGGGAAUACCCCGAAGUAUUUGUAUUAUUUUAUCCGGGGAAUGCCCCGAAGUAUUUUGUAUUUGAAAAAUGUUCAUGGUGAAGGCCCGAGGCAUCGGGUAAAGCACGGUAGCGUAGUUCGAAUUAGAUUAGCGUAGGUUUAUAUUUUUGCAUUUUUUAUACUUCGGACUGUAUAAUUGGACUAGACAUUACAUUUUGAAUUGUUUUGUUUUGUUUUUUGUUUGAUUGUUUUGCGUGCUUUUGUGUGGUUUAUACAUUUCAUAGUGUCAAAAUAGUCGAUACACUCUACCAAGCGACCGUGGUUGAACCACGGGAUCGAGGGGUGCCUAACACCUUUCCCUCGAUCAACAGAAUUCCUUAGCCGGAAUCUCUGUUCGCAAAUCAGUUUAAGGAGUUAAAUCGUUUUGAAAAGGAUUUUCCUAAGGUGACUUGGAACACCUUAUUACGCCAAGUGGCGACUCUGAGUUUUGAAUAUAAAUAAUCCAUUUUUUUUCGAAACAAAUUUUCUAUCUUUUGUCACUUUGAUAAUUAAAAACCCUUUCAAACUUAAAACGAAUCUUUUGGAGUACGAAAAAAAGGGGUGUGACAGCUGUGGCGACUCUGCUGGGGAUUUUUCAGAAUUCGAGCUUAUUUUGGAGUCGUAUCGGCUUUGUUUGACACUAUAGGUGUAUAAACAUUUUGUUUGUGUUGUUUUGUAUAUUGUUUUAUGAUUGUGGAAUAUUUUCGUGCUCUUUGUACAGUAUUUAUCCUAUGUGUUACCGCUUUUAUAUCUGGCAUCAUGUGUCUACCCCAGGCCUUCUUUCUGCAAUAAUUCCGUAGUACACGUGUUGUACACGAUCUCUAGUUGAGUCCCCCUUAUUUUAGGGGGGGAGCCGUCGGUGUUAUGGAGUAGGUGGAAAGCAAAGCAGCCACUAUCGACCAUACGUUCCCCCGACAGCCUUGUUAGUGAACCAUAACGUAGGUCAGCCUUUAGGUCAUGCUUAUGUGCAUCAUAUUAAAGACCUAGCAGGGCCCUCUUGGCCCUUUGUAGGAGACUCACCUUUAAGGCAUCCUUACGUGCUAAAUGUUGCAUCUUUGAGGGUAACGAGAUUAUUUGACUGACUGGUUUGAGCAACAACAUGAGUUAGAAGCAAAGUGUGUAGGCAAGAAAUUGUUGAAAAAAAAAAGAAGAAAAAAAGAGUAAAAAAAAAAAGAUUUGGUAGUUUUUAGGGUUCUUUAUGGCUUUUGUUUUUUACAAUUUAAAAAUUAAAAAAAAAAUUACUUUUUGCACUCAUUUCUCAAAAAAUCAAAAACGUUAAAAAAUUUUCCUUUCGUUUUCUUUAGUAAGCAUUCAUAAUUCGAAAACUCCAAAAAUAUUUUUUCCUUUCAAUAGGAGCUUUGUACAUUCUUAUAUAGUGAAAAUGCCAAAAAGAUUUUCCUUCGUAAUUGUUGGUGUCAGUUUUAGUUGAAGUGUCUAAUUAAAAAUCCAAAAAAGAUUUUAUUUGUGUGUCUUUGGUUGUGUCUCUUAAGUUAGGGUCAAUCUAUUAGUUAAUCAUUAAUUGUCCAAUCUGGACGAACUAUGCACCCCUGAUUCUCCUCUUUCGGGAGUGAGAUACGUAGGCAGCCUAUUGUUGGUUCAGGGAUCUUAUUUAAAAAAUCAAAAAAUAUUUCUUCACUCUCCAUUUAGAGUAGGCGUUUCAUAUACGUCUUUAAAAGAAAACUACAAAAAGAUUUUCAUUUAAUAGGUUCAAGUUUCAUUUUCACAUGAAAUUCAAAAAUCGAAAACCCAAAAAUAUUUUUCUUUGGUAAUCACAGGUUUCAUUUUGUAUAGAGAUUUAAACCUAAAAAAAAAUGCAAAAAGAUUUUCGUCAAUUCUUUUGACACUUUGUUUCAAGAAAGAAAAAAGAGUUUAAUUGGCCAAUUUGACAAAACUUCACAAACUACGCACACCUGAUUCUCCCUUUUCGGGGGUGAGAUAUGUAGGCGCCUUUCUAAGGUUCGGUGAAUUUUUUUUCAAGAAAAAAAAAAAGAGGUUUUGAAAAAUCACUGAACUCUAACGCAUUUGCUAUCUCUUGUCCAGUUAGUUUAAGGUGGUUGGUUUGUGGCAUUUUGGCUGGUCCUCCAUAUUGCUCCAAGUCACAGAGGAAGUUAUGGCCAACAAGGAUACCGAGUUAGUGGUCACUAAUCAGAUAGGGAGUUCGGGGAAUGAGAAUGUAUGAGAUAAUGAAGAGAUUCGAAAAUUAAGGUGGCAAAUAACAGAAAUGCAUCGAGCUUGGGCUAAUGGGUUGCCGCCUUCUUCAGUUCUCACUGAUAAUCUGGAAUAUCUUUCUAGCUUGCCUCCCGUGUCACAUGCACAAUUUCCCAUUUUUGUUGAUAUGCCACAACAUGCAUUAGGAUCGACUCCAGGGCAACAAUAUCCAACCACUUCCAAUGUUCAUUUCCUCACUCCCCAAUCCAAGACUACCACAUACUCGGCUCCAGCUGUUGUUCAUGCUUUUAUGGCGCCACCCCCACCUGAAGCUCCUACUUUUGAUGUUCAUCCACAAGUUNNNNNNNNNNNNNNNNNNNNNNNNNNNNNNNNNNNNNNNNNNNNNNNNNNNNNNNNNNNNNNNNNNNNNNNNNNNNNNNNNNNNNNNNNNNNNNNNNNNNNNNNNNNNNNNNNNNNNNNNNNNNNNNNNNNNNNNNNNNNCCGCCUGAAUUUCCUCCUAACACUGAGAAACCUGUUAUGACAGAAGAACAAGAGAAAAUAGCCAGAAAAUUGAGAAGUUUGAAACUGACUAUGAAAAACUUGCAAGGACUUGGGGGGUACAAAAGUGUCUCAUAGAAAGAUCUGUGCAUGUUUCUUGGUAUAUAUCUUCCUCUUGGUUUUAAAAUGCCGAAGUUUAAGAAAUAUGAUGGACAUGGUGAUCCUAUAGCACAUUUAAGACUUUAUUGUAACCAGCUAAGAGGUGCUAGAGGGAAGGAAGAAUUACUCAUGGCAUAUUUCGGUGAGAGUCUUUCAGGUCUAGCUUCAGAAUGGUUUGUUGACCAAGACAUUGACAAAUGGAUUAGUUGGGAUGACCUAGCUAACGAAUUUGUGCAACAAUUUCAAAACAAUGAGGAGUUGAUCCCUGACGAAAAAUCCCUAACUAGUAUAAUAAAGAAGAAUACUGAGAGUUUCAGGGAGUAUGCGAUCAGAUAGCACGAACAAGAUGCUAGAGUAAAAUCGACAAUGAAAGAAAGCAAAAUAGUGGAGGUGUUUAUUCAAGCGCAGGAUGAAACAUAUUAUCAACACUUGUUACCUGCAUUAGGUAAGUCGUUCAUUGAGGUCCUCAAAAUGGGGGAGAUCAUAGAGGAUGGAAUUAAGACCGGUCGCAUUGUGAGUUUUGCAACAUUGAAAGAGACUACUCAAGUAAUUCAAAAAGGUUCGGGAAGUGUUGGAGGAAAGAAGAAUGAGGAAGAUGUAUCUGCCAUUAUAGUUGGACAACAGGCACGGGUGAGAGGACCAUAUCAUCAUUAUCCAUGGGCUCAAACCCAAGUUUAUGGCCAAGUUCUACAGAAUCUUUCCCAAAAUCCAUUAUAUUUCAUUCCUCCAUCUCCAUAUCAAGUGUAUAAUGCGCAACCAUAUGUUCAACCCCCAUCUUACCCACACUGGCGCUCGCCAACUCUGUCGAGUUAUCCUUCAUCUCCACAUACAUACCGAAGCCCUUCUAGGUCUGGUUUUCAAUUUAAGCCAAAUAAUGAAAUGAGACAGAAGUUGAGGGAUAACUUCACACCGAUUGGAGAGUCGUAUGCAAGUUUAUUCCAGAGAUUGGUAUAGCAUGACAUGAUCACUCCUCUCCUUGGGUAUACUCCUGACCCACAUUCAAGAAAUUUUGAUCCUAAUGUACAAUGCGCAUAUCAUUCUGAUGUUCAGGGUCACAAUAUUGAAGAUUGUCGUGCUUUGAAAAGAGAAAUUGAAAACAUGAUUCAAGAUAAAUCAAUCAUAGUACAGAACAUUGACAGUGAGGAAAGCUCUAGCCAUGUUGAUAUGCAAACCAGUGGCUAAGAUGUCAGGCUGAGCAAUUGAGAAGUCACCCCUCUCCUUAGUAAAAAGGGGUUUGGUAGCUUGUUUUGUUUUAUUUUCUGUUCUCCAAAUUAUUUCAGGGUUGUAGUUCGGGAUCUAUAUUGUUUUGUCCUUUUGUUGUUUAUGUUCCAACCCUUCUAUCUUUUGUUUUGACUAAAUGAAGUGUCUUAUUUUCCUUUGUAUUUUAAAUAUGUGUUGUUUGUUUGUUUUCUUUACAUAGUACAUUUUGUGUUAACUCUAGUGAUAUGACAUGCUAGUGAAAUUUUCAGUCAGAUCUUAAAAUCCAUUUUAAGCAUGAACAUUGAAUCAGAGGAUUAAAGUUAGAAAAAAGAGAGCAUAUGAGAAAAUAGAUAGAGUGCUGAGACAUUUGGUGACAAGUUAAGGCAAUUAUUUUGAGAAUCACAAGAAUAACUUGGUCAUCAAUUGAAAAACAAAGCUUAAUUAGGUCAAAUAGCUGAUGUGUUCUCCUGAGGAACAAAACAAAAAUCAACUCCACGAAAGUAUGAGUCAUUCGAUGUGAGAAAUGUACAACAAAGGUGGAGUUGUAUAUUCAACAAGGGUAAAAGAAGAGGUGACACAUAUGCUCGGGGCAAGUUAGUAUUGUAAAACAUGUCAUAAGUGAUAUUGAUUGUGUACUUUCACAUUGUAUGCUAUGUACUAGCACCUUCAAGGAUUGAUAUGAUGAAAGCAUUUCAUUCUGCUAUCCAUAUAUUGUGUCAUCCUUUGUGUACCCCAUUUGAGCCUUAGUUUUAUUUUCUUUCAUACCCCUCUUUUGGAAUCAAGAUACAUUCAAUAAAGCUCAAAAGAAAAAGUGUCAGGUAAAAUAGAGUCAGAAAAAAAUGUGUCAAAAAGAAAGAAAUAAAAAGUGUCAGGUAAAAUAGAGUCAAAAAAAUCAGAAUCAAGCAAAAGAACAAGCUGCCAGAACUACGCGUGACCUGAUUCUCCUCUCUCAGGGGUGAGAUACGUAGGCUGCCCUACUAAGGGCUCGGUCUAACCAAAUAAACAAUUUAGAAUCACCCAGUCAAAAGAAACUAGGGCAUGAGUUAAUCCUCAUUGUUUGAGUCGAUUCCAAAAGCUGUAAGUCCUAACCCACUUCAAGCAAGUGUCGGUUGGGCCUCAUGCCAUCCGUUCUUUCUAACCCUAUCAAAUAGCCAAGUUACAACCAAAGAAAGACCUUCAGAUCAAUCUUUGGGGAUGUUAAGGCAAAGCAUGCAAGGGAUAUGAUGAUGUAUUUGGGAACUACCUGUCUUCCUCAGCACAAGGAAUCAAGAGAGAAAUAAAAAUGAGAGAGUCUUAUUGGUNNNNNNNNNNNNNNNNNNNNNNNNNNNNNNNNNNNNNNNNNNNNNNNNNNNNNNNNNNNNNNNNNNNNNNNNNNNNNNNNNNNNNNNNNNNNNNNNNNNNNNNNNNNNNNNNNNNNNNNNNNNNNNNNNNNNNNNNNNNNNNNNNNNNNNNNNNNNNNNNNNNNNNNNNNNNNNNNNNNNNNNNNNNNNNNNNNNNNNNNNNNNNNNNNNNNNNNNNNNNNNNNNNNNNNNNNNNNNNNNNNNNNNNNNNNNNNNNNNNNNNNNNNNNNNNNNNNNNNNNNNNNNNNNNNNNNNNNNNNNNNNNNNNNNNNNNNNNNNNNNNNNNNNNCCACUAGCCGAAUGAGGUCUCCGAAUGUAAUUGGCCCAAGGAAGCAACUCAGUUUCAAGGCCAUUAACCCAACAAUAACUAGUGGAAGGUGUGGAUGGAAAGAUCAGGCAGAUUAAUCCAAAAUGCAUGGCAUAAUCAUUAGAGUUGACAGUCAUUUUUUAUAUAAAUUUUUCAUUUCUUUGUUUCAAAUGGGGACAUUCAUUGUCUUUUAUUUUUUCUUUAUAUUUUUAUUUUUAUUUUUCUUGGGUCAGUUGUCCAAAUAAAAAUCACUGUCAUUUUUUUUCUUGUCUUUAAGUCAAGUUUAUGUCGAAACAAGUGAGAAAAGAUUUCAAAAUUGGCUACCAGCUUCUUCAAUUGCAGAAAGCAAGACAAAAGGCCAGCACAUGAAAGAGACAUGAUUGUGAGCCAAAAUAAGGCAUGCAGAAAGUUGUGUCAACAAAAAAUUCUGACAAUUCAUGAAAAUACCAAGGAUCAAAGAGUUUAUCUGAGAAGCAUGGCAAAGCAAAGAUACUGUGUUUAUUUUAGAAGAACUCUUAAUAAUCUGAGUUCGGAUCAAUGAUGCAGCAAGUCAAUGGCAUAUGCUAAUGGUCGAAAUCAAGAUUAAUGUGACAGGGGCAAGAGCGAUUUCCACAAAAGCCAAAGCCACAAACUAACCACCAUGUUUUUAAACUAACAAGUUUUCUUUGUAUGAAAUAGGAACACAUGCUACCUUCGAAUCAAGGAUUUCAAAGCCUAAAUAUCAAGGGCCGUAAUAUUCUCACUUCUACAAAUGCAAGAGGUAAUGUUGCUGCACAUAUUUGGUAUUCAAACUCAUGGUAAUUCAAGCGACAUUUGUAAGGAGACGCACUUCCUUAUUUUGGUAAUUCUAGCAACAUUUGUAAAGAGACGCACUUCCUUGUUUGGGUAAUUCCAGCAAUAUUUGUAAGGAAACACACUUCCUUAUUUGGUAAAUCCAGCAACAUUUAUGAGGAAACACACUUUCUUGUUUGGUAAUUCAAGCGGUAUUUGUAAGAAGACACACUUUCUUAUUUGGGUAAUUCCAGCAACUUUUGUAAGGAGACGCACUUCCUUGUUUGGGUAAUUCAAGCGGUAUUUGUAAGGAUACACACUUACUUGUUUGGUAAUUCAAUUGGAACUUGUAAGGAGAUGUACUUCCUUAUUCGGGUAAUUCCAGCAACAUUUGUAAGGAGACGCACUUCCUUGUUUGGCUAAUUCCAACAACAUUUAUAAAGGGACGCACUUUCUUGUUUUGAUAAUUCAAGCAACAUUUGUAAGGAGACACACUUUCUUAUUUUGGUAAUUCAAGCGUUAUCAUAAGGAGACUCACUUCCAAAGGAGACACACUUCCUUGUUUGGUAAUUCGAUCGGCAUUUGUAAGGAGACGCACUUCCUUGUUCAGGUAAUUCCAGCAAUAUUUGUAAGGAGACGCACUUCCUUGUUUGGUAAUUCAAGCAACAUUUGUAAGGAGACUCACUUCCUUGUUGAGUAAUUCAAGCAACAUUUGUAAGGAGACGCACUUCCUUGUUGGGUAAUUCAAGUGACAUUUAUAAGGAGAUGCACUUCCUUGUUUGGGUAAUUCAAGCGGCAUUUGUAAGGAGGCGCACUUCCUUGUUUAGUUAAUUCAAGAAACAUUUAUAAGGAGACGCACUUCCUUGCUUGGGGUAAUUCGAGCAACAUUUGUGAGGAGACGCACUUCCUGAUUUGGGCAAUUCGAGAAACAUUUGUAAGGAGACACGCUUUCUUAUUUUGGUAAUUCAAACGCUAUCAUGAAAAGACGUACUUCCAAAGGAGACACACUUUCUUGUUUUGGUAAUUCAAGCGGCAUUGGUAAGGAGACACACUUCCUUGUUUGGUAAUUCAAGCGGUAUUUUUAAGGAGACGCACUUCCUUGUUUGGGUAAUUCAAGCGGCAUUUGAUAAGGAGACGCACUUCCUUGUUUGGGGUAAUUCAAGCAACAUUUGGAAGGAGACGGACUUCCUGGUUCGGGAAAUUCAAGAAACAUUUGUAAGGAGACGUACUUCCUUGUUUGAGUAAUUCAAGAGACAUUUGUGAGGUGAUGCACUUCCUUAUUUGAGUAAUUCAAGUGAUAUUUGUAAGGAGAUGCACUUCCUUGUUUGAGUAAUUCAAGCGACAUUGGUAAGGAGAUGCUCUUCCUUGAUUGGGUAUUUCGAAUUUUGAUUUUUAGGUGAUGCACUUCCUUGUUUUGAUAAUUUAAGCAACAUUGGUAAGGAGAUUCACUUCCUUGAUUGGAUAUUUCGAAUUUUGAUUUUUAGGUGAUGCACUUCCUAACUUGAGUUUUGAUUUCUAGAAAAUGCACUUUCUAGUCGAGUUAUCGCACUUAGCCCUAAGGAGACACACUUCCUUGCUAGUUUUAAUUUGUCAGGUGGCACACUUUUUAGCUUAAACUUGUAUCUCUAGAAGACGCACUUUCUAGUUAGAAUCCCUCACUUUAAUUCUAAGGAAAUGCACUUCCUAGUCUUGGUUAUUUAAUUUUACUCUUAAGAGAUGAAUUUCUUAGUCAAAGUCUUGAUUCAUCAUUACAACAUGCAAGUAGGUAUGAUGUGACUUUUCCAAAACUCUUCUGAUGAUAAACUGGGGCAAAAAUUCAAUUUCUCUUUUUGAAACUUUACUUUUCUGGCAAAUAAAACCUCUUUAUAAUAAUAUUUGUUUGGGAUAAUUUUCUUUUUAGUUUUGAUGUGAUUUCAGGAGCCUACCCGAAGCACAGGGCGAAUAAAUGGAAAACCAAGCAACAAGGUGAAGAAAUUGAAAGUUAAACAGAUUGAAAAAUAGCAAGUCAGGAGCUCGCCUGUAGAAAAGGGUGAAGAAGUUGAAAGCAUGGCAACAAGUUGAUGAAAUAGCAAGUUAGUAAUCCGCCUGGAGAAUAGGGUGAAGAAAUGAAAAGUCAAGCAACAAAGUGAAGAAGUUGAAAGUCAAGCAACAAGGUGAAGAAGUUGAAAACAAAGCAACAACGUAAAAAGUUGAAAGUUAGUAGAUUGAAAAAUAUCGUCAGGAGCCCGCCUGAAGAAUAGGGUGAGGAAAUUGAAAUUUAAGCAACGAGGUGAAACAAUUGAAAGCCAAACAACAAGUUGAUGAAAUUGAAAGUCAGGAGCCCGCCUGAAGAAUAGGGUAAUGAAACUCAAGUCAAAAGUCAAAGGGGGAAUGAUGUAGACACCUAAUUUUGUCCUUCCCGAAGUCUAAUUUUAUUCAUUUUUAGUUCACCUUACCAUGUGUCCAACCCCAUGUAAUUAUAUCCCACAAAAAUAUAAAAAUAAAUAAAAAACAAUACCUCUAACAAAUUUUAUCCUAUCCUAACCCCCUUUACACCUAACCCCGACCCCUCCAAUUAAAAACUUACACCUCCCCUACUACCCCACCCCUCUCACGUGACCCUCACCCUUUCCUUUUCUUGUCCACAAGCAUAUUCCCUUAACAGAAUUGAGAAAUGAACUUUCAAGGAAACUUUCAUAUGCACACCUCACUCAUGGACCCCACUAUUUUUUCUUUUGUUUUCAUUUUUAUCAUGCACACACAGCAACUUGGGAGGGACCCACGGAGGGAGGAUUCCCAAUUCCCAUUCAAUUUAGAGGGACCCAUAGAAGAAAAAGGGCUGGGAUUUUCUGAAAUUCAAUAUAUACAAAGACUGCCAAUUGAUAGAGGGGGGGAUUUCAGAAAAGGUCAUCUUCUCGACCAAACAUAGACCGGACGCGAUUUUUUUUCUUUCCCCUGGGGGCUCUUGAUCUUACCAUCAUUUUCAUCGAGCAAAGGGGAGGAUAAACUCAUUGUUUUGAUCAAAAACAAGAGGGGACGCCAUUUUUUGGCCCUUCCUUUCUUCUAGUUCGCGACACACAUAUACCCACACACCCAAAAUCACAUACCCGCAUAGAAACAGAGAGGGAGAGAGACGGGAAGGACGAGAGAUACACCGAAAGAGAAGAAGUCGACUGUAGAUCGAGUUUUUCGGCCACUCUUCACCAAAAAACACUUCCCUAGCUCCAAUUUGACUUCGAAAUCCAUCAAUAACUCGAUCUAAACCAUCUCCAUUGCUGAAAACCAAGGUCGAGUAGUUUAAACCAAUCUGAAAUCAUCCUGUUUUGGGUUGAUUCCGGCCAUUUUGAGUUCGAUUUCGUCAUGUGCAAGGUCAAUUUUGGUCUGUUCGGUUUAAUUCUGGUCAGUUCGGUUUAGUUUCAGCUCGUUGGGGGUUUGUGUUGAAUACUCUCAAGUCGUUUUCAUGGAUUUUGGUAUUUGAAUCGGAAUGCGAAUUCGGGUUUGUACUGAAUUGGUUCGUCGUUGAGGUUCUCUAUUCGGGAUUCCAAGUCCGGGUUCUCUUAAACAUUAUUAUUAUCAAUAAAUAUGUUCUUUGAAGGUCCAUCUCUUGACUCUACUCUUUUAUCUCAAAAUUGGUUAAUGUCAUAAUUUUGUGGUAUGGUUUUGAAUAUUUUGAGCAAAAUAUUAAUUGUUGGUGUGGAUGACUUGUAUGCCUAAGUUCGAAUCCUCGUUGGGUGUAUGUGGUUGAUGUUGGAUUAGAUAGUCGAAGAAUUAGUGAAUUAGUUUUGACAACGAAAUUGGGGAAGAUGG
rnacentral:lncRNA from 1 species